GUGAAUCAUCAAAUCUUUGAACGCACAUUGCAUUCUCUGGUAUUCCGGGGAGUAUGCCUGUUUGAGGGUCGUUUGAACACAAAUCGACGCGUCGCUCUUUUUUUACGGUUGCUCGCGUCGGGCUUGAGCCGUCUUCCAAAUGAUAAUUACUGGCCAUGUGGCUUGACAUUCAUCCAUCCUGUACGAUUAAAGCGUACUUAAGAUCAACUUUGAUUCAGAAAGCCCGGUGAACGUCCCACC
rnacentral:misc_RNA from 1 species